UACGAAGGGGGCUAGCGUUGCUCGGAAUACUGGGCGUAAAGCGCACGUAGGCGGAUUGUUAAGUCGGGGGUGAAAUCCUGGAGCUCAACUCCAGAACUGCCUUUGAUACUGGCGAUCUUGAGUCCGGGAGAGGUGAGUGGAACUGCGAGUGUAGAGGUGAAAUUCGUAGAUAUUCGCAAGAACACCAGUGGCGAAGGCGGCUCACUGGCCCGGUACUGACGCUGAGGUGCGAAAGCGUGGGGAGCAAACAGGG
rnacentral:rRNA from 1 species